rnacentral:rRNA from 1 species
UACGUAGGGCGCAGGCGUUGUCCGGAAUUAUUGGGCGUAAAGAGCUCGUAGGCGGCUUGUCACGUCGGGUGUGAAAGCCCGGGGCUUAACCCCGGGUCUGCAUUCGAUACGGGCUGGCUAGAGUGUGGUAGGGGAGAUCGGAAUUCCUGGUGUAGCGGUGAAAUGCGCAGAUAUCAGGAGGAACACCGGUGGCGAAGGCGGAUCUCUGGGCCGUAACUGACGCUGAGGAGCGAAAGCAUGGGGAGCGAACAGG